CCUACGGGUGGCAGCAGUGAGGAAUAUUGGUCAAUGGACGAGAGUCUGAACCAGCCAAGUAGCGUGAAGGAUGACUGCCCUAUGGGUUGUAAACUUCUUUUAUAAAGGAAUAAAACGAGGCACGUGUGCCUUUUUGCAUGUACUUUAUGAAUAAGGAUCGGCUAACUCCGUGCCAGCAGCCGCGGUAAUACGGAGGAUCCGAGCGUUAUCCGGAUUUAUUGGGUUUAAAGGGAGCGUAGAUGGGUUGUUAAGUCAGUUGUGAAAGUUUGCGGCUCAACCGUAAAAUUGCAAUUGAUACUGGCAGUCGUGAGGACAGUUGAGGUAGGCGGAAUUCGUGGUGUAGCGGUGAAAUGCUUAGAUAUCACGAAGAACCCCGAUUGCGAAGGCAGCUUACUAAACUGUGACUGACAUUGAUGCUCGAAAGUGUGGGUAUCAAACAGGAUUAGAUACCCGGGUAGUC
rnacentral:rRNA from 1 species